ACAUCCAGCGAACUUGGCAGAGAUGCCUUGGUGCCUUCGGGAACGCUGAGACAGGUGCUGCAUGGCUGUCGUCAGCUCGUGUUGUGAAAUGUUGGGUUAAGUCCCGNAACGAGCGCAACCCUUAUCCUUUGUUGCCAGCGAUUCGGUCGGGAACUCAAAGGAGACUGCCGGUGAUAAACCGGAGGAAGGUGGGGAUGACGUCAAGUCAUCAUGGCCCUUACGAGUAGGGCUACACACGUGCUACAAUGGCGCAUACAAAGAGAAGCGACCUCGCGAGAGCAAGCGGACCUCAUAAAGUGCGUCGUAGUCCGGAUCGGAGUCUGCAACUCGACUCCGUGAAGUCGGAAUCGCUAGUAAUCGUGGAUCAGAAUGCCACGGUGAAUACGUUCCCGGGCCUUGUACACGCCGCCCGUCACACCAUGGGAGUGGGUUGCAAAAGAAGUAGGUAGCUUAACCUUCGGGAGGGCGCUUACCACUUUGUGAUUCAUGACUGGGGUGAAGUCGUAACAAGGUAAGCGUAGCGAG
rnacentral:rRNA from 1 species